GAUGAACGCUGGCGGCGUGCCUAACACAUGCAAGUCGAACGGAAAGGCCCUUCGGGGUACUCGAGUGGCGAACGGGUGAGUAGCACGUGGGUGAUCUGCUCUGCACUUUGGGAUAAGCCUGGGAAACUGGGUCUAAUACUGAAUAGGACCACGCGAUUCAUGGUGUGUGGUGGAAAGCUUUCUCGGUGUGGGAUGGGCCCUCGGCGUAUCAGAUCGUUGGUGGGGUGAUGGCCUACCAAGGCGCCGACGGGUAGCCGGCCUGAGAGGGUGAUCGGCGACAUGGGAAGGUAGACACGGUCACGACUACUACGGGAGGGCGCAGUCGCGAACAGGAGACAACGGGCGGAAGUAUGACCCAGUGAGGGCGCGCGUGAGACGACGGCGCCGCGUGAGUAAAGACGGCCUUCGGGGGAUGAACCGCUGUCAAUAAAGACGAAGCGGAAGUGACGGUACCUAUAGAAGAAGCACCGGCCAACUACGUG
rnacentral:rRNA from 1 species